UCACUGUGGUCUUCCCGGCCCACAAUCCUCCGCGGGCCGGAAUGAAGCGGUGAGCGGUUCUGAUGACAUGAUGGGCUGGAGACUUCAACUGGCUUGGAGAACAAAAACUGUCAUUUUAACUGGGUGAAAAUAGUUUACUUUCAGCAAAACAGGCAAGAAUGAGUUGAUUACAAGCAAUCGUUCUGUUUUUAGCGGCUUGUCUAAAUUGCCAGGUAAUUAGCAAACGGUAUGCGUAAGUUAACUAACGUUAGCCGAGUCUGUAGUUUAAUUAGCCUAGCUAGCUAGCUAACUUCGGUUAGCUAAAAUGUACACACUACAGAUUGGAAGGGACGCUGGUAGUUUUUGGGGAACUUUCCACGAGUUUAUUACACUGCAUUGAUGUCUCCUUUUUGAGUUAUGCUUUCAAGAAAGAAAAGUAAAAGCGAGGCGUCGAAACCAGCGGAAGUACACGGGAAAUAUGUGAAGAAGGAGACUUCACCAGUCCUGAGAAAUCUCAUGCCCUCAUUCAUCCGACAUGGACCCACUAUUCCCAGACGCACCGAGGUCCCUCUGCCUGAGCCUGGUCCCUCAGCCUACCCUGUGGGAACCAGCCCUGAACCUGUGGUGGUUCGCAACAAGAGCUUCCUGCGCGCCCCUGUGCAGAGACCACCCCACGAGGUGGCUCGGCGGGAGAGCCAUAGGAUGUCAGCCCCUCCGUACCUACCACGUAGCCUGGGGGAUAUAACCCACGAGUACGGAGGCUCCUCACAGUCCUUCCUCACGGACGUGAGCGCCGCGGCUGAGAACGGUGACGCUGGACGCUACUACUACCCCCCGCCUCCGGAACCUUACUACGACAGCCAGCAGCAGCAGCAGCAGCAGCAGCAGAGACGGCCUCAGCCCAGGCCCCAGCAGCCCAGAGCACCUGAACGCUUCCAUGAGGACUAUAGAUACUAUGAACACAACGAACAUCCAAACUUCCAAAGACUACCACCACCACAACAACACACUUCCCCGACCCCAAACAGACCGCCAACAGGUAUUGGUCGGAUGCAGGCUAAGUCUCUGGGGAACCUGUCCAGUCCGAGCGGCGAGGACCUCCCCCUGCCCCGUGGUUGGACGGUAGACUGGACCAUCAGAGGCAGGAAGUACUACAUCGAUCACAACACCAACACCACCCACUGGUCCCACCCCCUGGAGAGAGAGGGUCUGCCCCCUGGCUGGGAGAAGGUGGAGUCUGCUGAGUUUGGGACCUACUACGUGGACCACCUCAACAAGAGGGCUCAGUAUAGACACCCCUGUGCUCCUAGCGUGCCUCGUUAUGACCAGCCCCCUCCCCUGCCCCCUCCGGUAGUGUACCAGCCUCGCCCCUCGGAGAGGAACCAUCCGGUUCUGGUACCAGCCAACCCGUACCACACGGCAGAGAUCCCUGACUGGCUACAGGUGUAUGCCCGCGCCCCGCUCAAGUAUGACCACAUCCUGAAGUGGGAGCUGUUCCAGCUGGUGGAUCUGGACACGUACCAGGGCAUGUUGAAGCUGCUCUUCAUGAAGGAACUGGAGCGUAUCGUCAAGUCCUACGAGGCCUACCGUCAGGCCCUGCUGUCUGAGGUGGACCAAAGGAAACCGAGGCAGCAGUGGUACACUCAGGCCCAGCAGCAGUCGGGCAAGAACUUCACAGGGAACAUGUGAACUGGGUCGUAAAUUCACUCGAAGCAAACGGGGGAGAAAACAAAGAAGGACCUACCUGAAUUUGUCCAAUAAACCAGUUGGUUGUUGCUAAACAGUUUGCAACAGUGUGCACUAAUGAAUACAACCCCGAAUUGACUGGACGGAGGAAUGGACUCUGUGCUAGCUCAACAUUGGACUUCAAGGACUCUCAUUCUACACUGUUCAUACAGAGUUCAGCCCUGGGGAACUGUUGUCCCACCCCUCGGAGGUUACUACAGCACAGAGAUCUCCCCCUCGGAGGUUACUACAGCACAGAGAUCUCCUCCUCGGAGGUUACUACAGCACAGAGAUCUCCUCCUCGGAGGUUACUACAGCACAGAGAUCUCCUCCCGAGGUUACUACAGCACAGAGAUCUCCUGAGGUUACUACAGCACAGAGAUCUCCCCCUCGGAGGUUACUACAGCACAGAGAUCUCCUCCUCCCGAGGUUACUACAGCACAGAGAUCUCCCCCUCGGAGGUUACUACAGCACAGAGAUCUCCCCCUCGGAGGUUACUACAGCACAGAGAUCUCCCCCUCGGAGGUUACUACAGCACAGAUCUCCCCCUCGGAGGUUACUACAGCACAGAGAUCUCCCCCUCGGAGUUACUACAGCACAGAGAUCUCCCCCUCGGAGUUACUACAGCACAGAGAUCUCCCCCCCGGAGGUUACUACAGCACAGAGAUCUCCUCCUCCCCCCGAGGUUACUACAGCACAGAGAUCUCCUCCUCCCCCGAGGUUACUACAGCACAGAGAUCUCCUCCUCCCCCGAGGUUACUACAGCACAGAGAUCUCCUCCUCCCCCGAGGUUACUACAGCACAGAGAUCUCCUCCUCCCCCGAGGUUACUACAGCACAGAGAUCUCCUCCUCCCCCCGAGGUUACUAUAGCACAGAGAUCUCCUCCUCCCCCCGAGGUUACUAUAGCACAGAGAUCUCCUCCUCCCGAGGUUACUACAGCACAGAGAUCUCCUCCUCCCGAGGUUACUACAGCACAGAGAUCUCCUCCCAAGGUUACUACAGCACAGAGAUCUCCUCCUCCCGAGGUUUGUCCACCCCCCCUCCCCUUUGAGGGACGGGGCAGCAGUAGGUUUCUACAGUCCUGAGGUUUUGUCCUCGUCCCCUGAGGUUUGUAGGGAGGGCCAGGCAGCGGUAGGUUUCUACAGUCCUCCUCUGGCUCUGUUUUCUAAAGGCAGGAAGAUUACAGGCUGCCAGAUCUGCUUGUUUAAAUGUCCAUAAAUGACUAUAAUAAGAUGACAGGUUGAGAUUGUGCCUUUUCAUCAAUGGCAGAACUUGCUUGUUAUUUUUUUAAUUUUUUUUUGCUUUGUAAAAUUAUAUUAAAACAAUUCCAUUUGAGAGCAGGACCAGCAGUGUUGCCUUAGGAACUCGUUUCCAUAUGAAUUCUGCUUCAUAAAUGUUUUUGUAAUUGUAUCUCGCCCCAUAAAACAGAAAGGAUAUUAUUGAACUUUAACAAUUUAAUGUGAUAUAUAUAUAUAUUGUAAUUGUCAUCAAUACAUCCUUUUGUUGACACAAUCCUUUAAAAUGUAUGUAAUUGUCUUACAUAAGAAUUUGAAGUUCUGGUGUGGAAUAGGUCUUCAUGAAGACCUGACGCUUUGUAGGAUACACUACAGCGUUACGUGUCAGGAACUUGGCUCCGUGCAUCACUAUACAUCAUCAUUAAUGAAUUAAAUCACAAUAUCCUUAUUAUAAUAUGACCUGUAGUAUUAUAGAAACACACAAGCUACUGGAAACAUAUCUAAAGCCCAAAUUACACCCUAUUCCCUAUGAGCCCUGGUCAAAAGUAGCGCACUACAUAGGGCACUAUUUCCCCUGGUCCUCCUGUACCCCCAACAGUACACCAACACCGGUCCUCCAGUACCCCCAACAGU